rnacentral:rRNA from 1 species
UACGGAGGGUGCAAGCGUUAUCCGGAUUUACUGGGUUUAAAGGGUGCGUAGGCGGGAUUAUAAGUCUGAGGUGAAAGUUCCGGGCUUAACCUGGAAAAGUCCUUGGAUACUAUAGUCCUUGAAUAUCGAGGAGGUGAACGGAAUAUGACAAGUAGCGGUGAAAUGCUUAGAUAUGUCAUAGAACACCAAUUGCGUAGGCAGUUCACUGUACGAUUAUUGACGCUGAGGCACGAAAGCGUGGGGAGCGAACAGG